rnacentral:rRNA from 1 species
GGUUAAAACGCUCGUAGUUGGGUUUCUGUCGGGAACAGCUUGUCUGCCCAAGUGGCGAGAACUUGUUCUGUUCCUGGCAUCUUCUUGGGGAACAAGUGCGCACUUCAUUGUGUGGCUCGGAAACCAGGACGUUUACUUUGAGGAAAUGAGAGUGCUUCAAGCGGGUGUCCGCCACGAAUACGUUAGCAUGGAAUAAUAGCAUUGGACCUCGGAUCAUAGCUGUUGGUUGCUAGAAC